CAUGCCCACUUCAGCAACACAUACUAAAAUUGGAAUGGUGCACAGAAGAUGAGCAUGGCCCUUGCACAGGGAUAACACAAAUUUGUGAAGUGUUCCAUACUGUG